AAAAACAAGUGAAUCGCGAUUGGUCCAAAUUACUAUAAAAACGUGAAAGAAAUUCUUGCGAUAUGCCAUUACUGCGAAACCUUGAAAGUGUUAACAGUCCCGUGCACAUAACAAAAGCUUGCCCAUAAUGGACUCUUCAAAGGUGUUUCUGCUGAUUUUCCUCAUCGCGAGAGUUGCAAUUUGCGUCACUCCUGAUCCAAUGAUCGCCCGGCUAAAAUUUCGUGCCGAAUUAGAAUACAAAGAGAUUGAGAGCCUGACAAAAGAAUACGGGAACUUUUGUACUUGCGUGGACCC